AACACUUAUGAAGUAUUAGUAAUUUAUUGCUAAGAAAGAUAUUUUAAGAAAAUUGUCUAUUUUUUUUUUAAUGUAGGAUAUACCAGAAGAUAUUCUUAAGAAUUUAGUAGAGGAGCUUCCUCAACCACGAAAAAUACCUAAACGUCUAGAUGAGUACACACAAGAAGAAAUAGACGCCUUCCCAAGAUUGUGGACUCCACCUGAAGAUUAUCGGCUAUAAGAGAAUAAGAAUUGCAGAAAAUAACAGUGAAGUGAUUGAAACUUUCUUCUGAUGAGUUUCUCUAACCUACAGGAUGGAGUAAAACAACUGCUACAGUUCAGCACCUGUUUUAUGUGCCGAAUCACUGUGGGGGAAGGUCAGGAAGGUAUAGUCCUUCAAUAGGAAAUUGUAAUUAAAAUAUAAUUUUAUAGAACCAUUUUUAUGUAAUCUGAUUUGAAUGUUAUAGUUGAUAAUAAUAAAAUCACUUACUUGGUUGA
rnacentral:sRNA from 1 species